AGAGAUUGCUGCCCUAUGGGAAUUUUUAGCAAGCCCCUACCUUAGGGAACUGGUUUUUACAUAAAACAGAACUUCUCUUGAGUGAAUACCUGGAGCAUGCUGAUUGAAUAGAUACUGUAAGUAAUAAGAUGUUGUCCAAUUACCAACUGCUGUCAGUAACAAAAAGAUCACAGCUCGUACAUUUGUUUUGCCUUUCACCAAAUUCUGAGAGUGUGGGAAAGUGGCUGUCACAAUGGAAGAGGAGGACCUGGUUCUGUAGAGGGUUCAAUCAUGAUGUGAAUUUUCAGCUUGGAAUGGCAAGACUGAAGUUCUCCUAUGUUUCUGAGAGGUGUUAUCACAAAGGCUGAGAUAGAAUCAGAUACCCUAGGAAGCGAAGA